UACGAAGGGGGCUAGCGUUGCUCGGAAUCACUGGGCGUAAAGCGCACGUAGGCGGCUUUCUAAGUCAGGGGUGAAAUCCUGGAGCUCAACUCCAGAACUGCCUUUGAUACUGGAGACUUGAGUCCGGAAGAGGUGAGUGAAACUCCGAGUGUAGAGGUGAAAUUCGUAGAUAUUCGGAAGAACACCAGUGGCGAAGGCGGCUCACUGGUCCGGUACUGACGCUGAGGUGCGAAAGCGUGGGGAGCAAACAGG
rnacentral:rRNA from 1 species